rnacentral:rRNA from 1 species
UACGUAGGGUGCGAGCGUUGUCCGGAAUUAUUGGGCGUAAAGAGCUCGUAGGCGGUUUGUCACGUCUGCUGUGAAAUCCCGAGGCUCAACCUCGGGCCUGCAGUGGGUACGGGCAGACUGGAGUGAUGUAGGGGAGACUGGAAUUCCUGGGGUAGCGGUGAAAUGCGCAGAUAUCAGGAGGAACACCGAUGGCGAAGGCAGGUCUCUGGGCAUUAACUGACGCUGAGGAGCGAAAGCAUGGGGAGCGAACAGG